ACAGAGAGAGAGAGAGAGAGAGAGAGAGAGAGAGAGAGAAUAGUGGUGGAGAUAUUGUAUUAGCAAUGUUGUUUUCUGUCACAAUAACAGACGUUCAUCAAUGGGCUUAAAUCAGUCAGUCAUGUCUGGAUUGGUCUGACUGACUCUGUUACUGAGGGGACCUGGAAAUGGGUGAACGGAACCCCACUGACCACCCCAAGGUAUUGGAGGAGUGGAGAGCCUAAUGGUGGUGGCGUGGAGAACUGUGUGGUGGUACCUUACUGGUCAUCAGGCCAAGGAGAUUGGUGGGACUAUCAGUGUUCUAAUCGAGAGUACUGGAUCUGUGAAAAAGGCCUGUUGUAGGUACUGCUGUUUAAAGAACUCUGAAGACUGAUUAUAGAUUUUGGGAAAAUGGCACUAUGAACAAGACGUUGGAGAGAGAGAGGCACGUACACACACACACACACACACACACACACACACACACACACACACACACGGAAGCAUUCACACACAGAAAACAAAUUAGGUAUUUACACUACCAGUCAAACUUUUGGACACACCUAAUCAUUCCAGGUUUUUUUUUUAUUCUACAUUGUAGAUUAAUAG